rnacentral:rRNA from 1 species
UGGCGGACGGGUGAGUAAUGUCUGGGAAACUGCCUGAUGGAGGGGGAUAACUACUGGAAACGGUAGCUAAUACCGCAUAACGUCGCAAGACCAAAGAGGGGGACCUUCGGGCCUCUUGCCAUCGGAUGUGCCCAGAUGGGAUUAGCUAGUAGGUGGGGUAAAGGCUCACCUAGGCGACGAUCCCUAGCUGGUCUAAGAGGAUGACCAGCCACACUGGAACUGAGACACGGUCCAG